GCACCACUCAGUGGGGGCAGAUCACCUGGUGGUCAUCAGCCAGGCAAUCACAGGUUCUUAUCCCAAUCUUCAUUGCCAGUAUCUGUGACACUCAAGUCGCACAUCACACUUCACACAGAGACACACAUAAGAAGGGGUCAAGGCAGCCACAGGGUCAGGGAGACUGAACUGAGAGCAAAGGCGGAGUCCCUGCAGGUGGUCAGGUGAGAUCAGGAACCAGCUGAAGAGCUUGUUUAGGGUGCAGGAGCUUAUUCUAGGCCGAGGUCCAGCAGUUUCACCAUGUCAGCUUGGAGUGGGACUCCAUGGUCAUCAUAGACAGAAGAAACCACACACACUGCUAAAGCCUAAGAACAGAUCCGAAGGUUCUUUGCUGUGACAAUUUUCUUGGGCAAGGCUAGUGACCAGUGACCAGGGUUAGGGUGCCACUGUGUCCAGUCCCAGGGUACCUCCCCUUUUAUGGGUCUCAAGUGAGGAGUUUGUUUUAUUUGGUGAUCUAGUAUAUUCAGUAAUCUCAUGGGCCUGGUUUUGCAAUGUUUGUUGGAUACGCCCAUACAUGCUUGUGAUUAAUUUGGUAAAUUCAUGGGUGGUCAUUCUUCAUUAGCAUGAUUAACUUAUUUCAGUUCAUGCCUUAUGGUUGUGCCAGGCAGAUGGUGGUGGUUCACUUGUACAAACAAGGUAUGGCUUCAUUGCAUCUCAGCCCUUAAACUCAAAAUGGAGUAGCUCACAGCAAACUACUGCUUUACAAAAUGAAGUGAGAAAGGUUAAAGCACAGCCUGAAAACUGCUGCUCUGUACAUCGUGGAGUAACUCAGAGAGGGCACGGCCUCCUCUCUGCAGAAGGCAGGUGGGUUUGUUGGUUGAACUGUGGCUGUUUUCAGGUUGGCCUUGGGUCAGCUCUGGCCCUGGAAGGCUCUUCUCAUCUUCCCCUUCCCUGCAGAGGCUCACUGAGGCCGGCCUGCCCACACCUGGACAGGGACUGUGCUUCCCGUGGGUGCAGCAGAGCUUUUCCUCCUGCACUGCCAAACACAGACUUAGAGCCACUGCUACUGUGGCUGGGCAGUAGCCACUGACUUUCUUUACUGCUGGACUUGGAAUGGGGUCCCCAUCUGUGGGGCAUGGUGGAGGAGCCAACUGCUCUCUUGGCCACACUAAGCAGGAAUGUGAUCUCUUCAACCUGGAGUGCUGGGGUAAAGAAAUCCUGGUGGUGUGGCUCUCCCCACGUGCUCACUGCCCGCCAAGUUGUAGCAGGUGUCAUGGAGUAAAUGUCUCUUUACUCACUAGACACCUUCAGAGACUCCCCAGUGUUUUACUGGGGAGACUUCCACAAAGUGCCUCACACUGCCGGCCAAGAAUCAGGAAUCUCCUCUUCACUUUGAAAGGGUAGCUUUACUAGUGUCCACUGCCUUUGGCUCUCAGCUCUGGUAAGUCUUCGUCUCCUCCUGUCUUUGUGAUUGGCAGUUCCCUCAUGGAAGUGUAUCAGUUGAAUCCCUUUUUAUUUAUCCCACUUGUAAUUCAGUUAACUUCUUGGAUGUUCUUCAUCAAAUUUAGGGAGAUCCUGGCAGUGUUUCCUUAGGUACAGUCUUUUUGCUCUUUCUCUCUUCUUUUGAGACUCACAUUAUGUGUAAGUUAUACUUUUUUUCCCCCUGUGCUGGGGGUUGGUGCUAAGCAUGUGCUCUACCUCUGAGCCUCACCUGCAGCCCAGCUGUGGUUCAGUGGUGCCUCAUAGGUCUCUGCCAUUCUGUUCAUUUGUAUUCAUUCUUCUUUCUAUUCUUCACACUGUAAUCUCAGUUGACUUGUUUUCAGGUUUGUUAAUUCCUGCUUCUCCCUACUCACAUCUCACCAGAGUCCCUCUGGUGAAUUAUUAAACUGAGUUUACUUCUCAACCUUAGAAUUUCAACUUGAUGCUUCUUUAUCAUUUUUACUUCUUUACUGAAAUUCUCCAUUGGUGAGAUAUAGUUCUCUUACUUUAGUUCUCCAGAUGUAUUCUUUGAAAGUAAUUAAAAUCGCUAACUUAAAAUCCUUUUCUCAUUGGACACAGUGGUACACACCUGUAUCCCAGCAACUUGGGAGGCUGAGACAGGAGGAUCCCAAAUUUGAGGCCAGUGAGACCAUGUCUCAAAAGGAAAAAUCAAAGGGACUGGGGAUGUGGUGCUCAGUGGUUCAGUGAGUGUAGCCCAU
rnacentral:lncRNA from 1 species